GGUGCCAUAGCUCAGUUGGUAGAGCAAAGGACUGAAAAUCCUUGUGUCACUGGUUCGAUUCCCGUUGGCACCACAA
rnacentral:tRNA from 9 species